GGCGGCGCCCAGGUGAAAUGUCGUUUGUCGCGGUCCUCUUCCAUGGCGUUUGAUAAUUCAAGUUCUCUGACGUGCUUAUUUCAUUGUUCAUAUUAUUGUGUCAAUCACUGAAAGAGGAUCAGCAUCCUGGUGAUCUCUUCCAGGAGGAAAAUGACUACACGGUCAAUAAAAACAGGGUGAAGAAAAGAUAACAAAUUCUAUUAAAGGGGUCAUCAAGCAAAAUGAGAACUAUCUGGUUAUCCUUCCACGGAAAAGGCAAACACCACCAACAUGGUCAACAAGUUAACCUCUGCCGCUAUUCCAUGGACUGAAUCCAUUGGUGGAAACUUACGACAAAUCAGUGACAACUGACUAACGGGCUGUCAUUCAGCAAUACUUUUCACAUGCGUGCCAUCCUUCCGUCGCCCCAAGGCACGGGGGAGUUGUGCCUGCUCCAGCUAUACGAGGCCAGGAUAAUUUGACUACCCAGCAACCGACGGUCUGGUGGGCCAACUCACCCAUCACUGACUCCAACUACCCCUGCUCUCAAAUGACCAAAGGACGACGAUUUUGUUCUAAACUACAGAUUUCUAAAUUUGCAUGACAGAAUUUCUGAGAAGUCAUGUGCUUUGAAAGAGAAAAGACAAAAACUACAGUCAACAAGGUCCCUUGUUUGGUAACCUGUUGGCUGCCACCAUAUCUCCCUUUUUACUUCCUUCUCGACUUGAGGGUAACUCCUUUGCUACUUAUCAUGGACUUCAUCCAUUGGUGAAAACGCAAGAUUGGUGAAAGCGCAAGGUGUCAAUGUGUUGUCCAAAGCUAAUGUUGAGGGUGCAAUUUUGGAAGACUACAAGGUCACAUUGACCUUAAACGAUGGUCAAAAGAUUUAAACUGACCAUGUCGUCGCUGUUGUCGAUUGGGACGCAAAAUUCACGGAUUUGGCUGUCGUUUCUGGUUCGGAAAUAGAUUUCCAUUUUGGUGGUUAUCGAGUCAAUACCGAGCUUGAAGCACGAUCGAACGUCUGGUUGGCUGGAGAUGUUACGUCUUUUUGUGAUAUCAAAUUGGGUCGUCUUCGUACGGAACAUCAUCACUUUGCUGUUGUAUCAGGGCGAUUGCUGGAGAGAACAAUACUGGCAACGAAACAUGGAUGAACAACUGCAGUGCACUGUCACCAAGUUCAUUCUUCGUGACGUCGUAUUAUCAGUACGCAAUCGGUAUCGUGCUGUUGCCGUUUGUCGUAUCGUUGAAGGUUGGGUCGAUCACUGGUGUACUCGUGGCUCCUGGGUAUGGCGGAUACCAAAGCACCACGCCGCCGCCUUGCUACACAACGACAACAUUCGCACCAACCGGUUACUACACUGAGGACCACAAUUACUACACCA
rnacentral:lncRNA from 1 species